CUGGGCCUGACCAUCUCUGGGUUCUCAGCACAGAGGCCGUCAAAACGUCAGGCAGGCUGGGCUGUGAGACUGUGGGUGCAUUAUGUGUGCUCUCAGGCCUCAGUCUCCUCAUCUGUGGUAUGGGGGUGCUGACGCCACCCCACUGACGGGCUCAGAAACGAGUGAAGGAUAAAAUGCACCGAGACUCCGUGCCCACCUCUCUGUUAUCCACACCAGCCUGGCCUCACGCAGAGACUCUGUGCCCCUCUCCUGCUCUAGAUACCAGCCAGGCCUCACGGCAGCCCUUGCUGGGCCCUGCAUUAACUCCCCCAGGCCUUGGACUCUGAGAGUUGGGACUCUCGUCUGGCCCAGGUGACAGAGGAGGAAACUGAGAAGCAGAGAGCCACGUGACUCACCUGUGGGUGGACUGUGGGAAUCGCCAAGCUCGGAUGAGAACCACGUGGGCAGUUCCAGGCCCGAGGCCGCCCACCCCGGGGGGAGAGGCUCCCCGGAGCAUCUGAGUCUGCAGCCCACUGGGGUGUCCGCCCGUGCAGCCACCAAGCCUGCUGGCCCUAGUACACCUCGCCACGCUCCCUCAGCCCGAGAGAGCCGGCCGGGCUGGCUGCAGCCCCAGAGGAGGUUCCCUCUCUUACCCAGAGGGGAGCAGGGUGAGCCGCGUGUCCACGGCACCCCCAGCCCAGAUCCCCGGAGCCCACAGGUACCUGUCGGGCGUCCUCCUCUUGCCGUUCUCGUUGACUUCCAGUAGCAGCUCUGAGGAGUCGAUGGGGGAGGAGGCGCUGGCGUCCAGCAGGAGCUGCUCAUGCUGGGCCAAGUACUGGGCGGGCGUCUGCUUGGCCAGGCGUGCACAGUGCAGGAGCUCCCGCUGCAGCAAGGGCAGGUUUGCCUGUGGGGUGGGGAAGGAGGGCCUGGGUAGCAUGCAGGGGUGCACAGCCCUGCUCAGGUCCGAGCAGAGGGGGCCUGGGCUGGGUGGCCGAAAGCUCAACUUGACCUCGGGCCUCAAAGGUCAAGGUGCUCGACCUCUCUGGGCCUCAAGUUCCUUCCUAGCAGUGCCAUGGGAGGGUGGCGUGGGAGGGUGGGCACAGAGCUUCGCAGGAGUGCCUCACCUGGGCCACACGGCGAUGUGGGGCAUGUGGGACUUGAGCCCAGAUCCUGGACUCCCAGGGUGGGGCUUUCCCACCGCACCCAGCUCCCUCCCAUGGCGUGGUCUGGAGAAGGCGAGAGGACGAAGGGGCAGCAGAUCAUGGUUGGUCUUCCCGCCUGCACCCGCCCUGCCCAGCAGGCACCACAUGACCCAACACAGCUGGGGAAAUGCAGGCUCAGAGAGGGGGAGGCAGCCCUGGGCCUACAGGCGGCUCACACGAGGGAGCUGGGAGUGAAACCCAGCUGGGAUUGCCUGCAGUGUGUCUGCUCCAGCCCUGAUGGGAAGCCCUGAGGUUCAGCUUCCCCUUCCCUUCCCGCUGGUUUCCAGCCUUGGCCUUGAUGGAGCGUGGACCUAGGACGUGGACACCCACGUUCUGUGGCUGCUCAAGUGAUCCUCCAGCCUUGGUGAGGACGGCCUCAAGACCCACGUGUGCGGGUAAAGACUCCGCAGCAUGCGGCCGAAGGACGGCCCGGUGUACGGGAUCCGUAUGCAGACCCUGCCUUUGACGCCUGUGUGUACCCGCGGCGCCCGCCGCCUCGUCCUUGGCUCCAGGCUGGCACUGCUGGGCCGCAAGCCGGGCUCCUCGGGUGCCUUCCCCAAAGUCUUCCCAGAGCUGCCGCGGGAGGGCGGACAGGCGUGCUGGACCCUGAGCAUGCUGGACCAGGGCCCAGCAGCAGGCCACUU
rnacentral:lncRNA from 1 species